rnacentral:rRNA from 1 species
UACGUAGGGUGCAAGCGUUAAUCGGAAUUACUGGGCGUAAAGCGUGCGCAGGCGGUUCGGAAAGAAAGAUGUGAAAUCCCAGAGCUUAACUUUGGAACUGCAUUCUUAACUACCGAGCUAGAGUGUGUCAGAGGGAGGUGGAAUUCCGCGUGUAGCAGUGAAAUGCGUAGAUAUGCGGAGGAACACCGAUGGCGAAGGCAGCCUCCUGGGAUGACACUGACGCUCAUGCACGAAAGCGUGGGGAGCAAACAGG